rnacentral:rRNA from 1 species
AGGUGUGCCAUGGCGUUCGUCAGCUCGUGUCGUGAAGAUUUUGGGUUUAAGUCCCGCAACGAGCGCCAAGGAGACUGCCCGGUGGCCAAACCGGAGGAAGGGUGGGGGAUGACGUCAAGUCCUUCAUGGCCCCUUACGGGUAGGGCUUCACACGUCAUACAAUGGUCGGAACAGAGGGUUGCCAACCCGCGAGGUGGAGCCAAUCCCAGAAAAACCGAUCGUAGUCCGGAAUCGCAGUUUGCAACUCGACUGCGUGAAGUCUGAAUCGCUGAGAUAAUCGCGGAUCAGCAU